AGCGAAAGCGUGGGGAGCGAACAGGAUUAGAUACCCUGGUAGUCCACGCCGUAAACGGUGGGCGCUAGUUGUGCGAACCUUCCACGGUUUGUGCGACGCAGCUAACGCAUUAAGCGCCCCGCCUGGGGAGUACGAUCGCAAGAUUAAAACUCAAAGGAAUUGACGGGGCCCCGCACAAGCAGCGGAGCAUGCGGCUUAAUUCGACGCAACGCGAAGAACCUUACCAAGGCUUGACAUAUACAGGAAUACGGCAGAGAUGUCGUAGCCGCAAGGUCUGUAUACAGGUGGUGCAUGGUUGUCGUCAGCUCGUGUCGUGAGAUGUUGGGUUAAGUCCCGCAACGAGCGCAACCCUCGUUCUGUGUUGCCAGCAUUUAGUUGGGGACUCACAGGAGACUGCCGGGGUUAACUCGGAGGAAGGUGGGGAUGACGUCAAAUCAUCAUGCCCCUUAUGUCUUGGGCUGCACGCAUGCUACAAUGGCUGGUACAAACGGCUGCAAUACCGCAAGGUGGAGCGAAUCCGAGAAAGCCAGUCUCAGUUCGGAUUGGGGUCUGCAACUCGACCCCAUGAAGUCGGAGUUGCUAGUAAUCGUAGAUCAGCAACGCUACGGUGAAUACGUUCCCGGGGCUUGUACACACCGCCCGUCACAUCACGAAAGUCGGUAACACCCAAAAGUCAGUGCCCAACC
rnacentral:rRNA from 1 species